UGCAUGGUUGUCGUCAGCUCGUGUCGUGAGAUGUUGGGUUAAGUCCCGCAACGAGCGCAACCCUUGAUCUUAGUUGCCAGCAUUUAGUUGGGCACUCUAAGGUGACUGCCGGUGACAAACCGGAGGAAGGUGGGGAUGACGUCAAAUCAUCAUGCCCCUUAUGACCUGGGCUACACACGUGCUACAAUGGAUGGUACAAAGGGCUGCAAAACCGCGAGGUUGAGCGAAUCCCAUAAAGCCAUUCUCAGUUCGGAUUGUAGGCUGCAACUCGCCUACAUGAAGCCGGAAUUGCUAGUAAUCGCGGAUCAGCAUGCCGCGGUGAAUACGUUCCCGGGCCUUGUACACACCGCCCGUCACACCACGAGAGUUUGUAACACCCGAAGUCGGUGAGGUAACCUUUUGGAGCCAGCCGCCUAAGGUGGGACAGAUGAUUGGGGUGAAGUCGUAACAAGGUAGCCGUAUCGGAAGGUGCGGCUGGAUCACCUCCU
rnacentral:rRNA from 1 species